rnacentral:rRNA from 1 species
AUUCACCCUGUUUUUCAUGUGUCACAGCUGAAGCCAUUCACAGCGGACUAUUCACCGGUCUUCAAUCACCUGCCAGCUCCUCCAGACCUCACAAUUGGCGACUUGGUGCCGCAGGCCAUCCUGGAACGCCGUCUGGUCAAGCAAGGCAAUGCGGCGAUCCCACAGGUUCUGGUUCAUUGGCACACACUGUCACCGGCAAGUGCGACAUGGGAAAAUUACAAUGUUCUGCGCCAACGCUUCCCCGACAUUGACCUCAUCGACGGAGCUCCAUCUCAAGCAGGGGCAAAUGUCACGCCCUCCUCCCCUGCUGCCACAACAAAGGAGAAGGCGGACAGUGAGGCACUGCUGGUGCGACGACCUGAGGAGAACAAAAGGGGCCACAGCCAGUGA